rnacentral:rRNA from 1 species
UACAGAGAGUGCAAGCGUUAAUCGGAAUCACUGGGCGUAAGGCGCACGUAGGUGGAUAUUGAAGUCGAAUGUGAAAGCCCCAGGCUUAACCUGGGAAUUGCACCCGAUACUGGGUAUCUCGAGUAUGGUAGAGGGAAGUGGAAUUUCCGGUGUAGCGGUGAAAUGCGUAGAUAUCGGAAAGAACACCAGUGGCGAAGGCGGCUUCCUGGACCAAUACUGACACUGAGGUGCGAAAGCGUGGGGAGCAAACAGG